rnacentral:misc_RNA from 1 species
GAUGAAGAACGUAGUGAAAUGCGAUAAGUAAUGUGAAUUGCAGAAUUCAGUGAAUCAUCGAAUCUUUGAACGCACAUUGCGCCCCUUGGUAUUCCGAGGGGCAUGCCUGUUCGAGCGUCAUUAUAACCCUCAAGCUCAGCUUGGUGUUGGGGCCUGCUGCACUGGCAGCCCUUAAAAUCAGUGGCGGCGCCAUCUGGCUCUAAGCGUAGUAAUUCUUCUCGCUAUGGAGUCCUGGUGGAUGCUUGCCAUCAACCCCCAAUUUUUCUAUGGUUGACCUCGGAUCAGGUAGGGAUACCCGCUGACCUUAAGCAUAUCAAUAAGCGGAGGA